GUAGGUGGCAAGCGUUGUCCGGAAUUAUUGGGCGUAAAGCGCGCGCAGGCGGUUCUUUAAGUCUGAUGUGAAAGCCCACGGCUCAACCGUGGAGGGUCAUUGGAAACUGGAGAACUUGAGUACAGAAGAGGAAAGCGGAAUUCCGCGUGUAGCGGUGAAAUGCGUAGAGAUGUGGAGGAACACCAGUGGCGAAGGCGGCUUUCUGGUCUGUAACUGACGCUGAGGCGCGAAAGCGUGGGGAGCAAACAGGAUUAGAUACCCUGGUAGUCCACGCCGUAAACGAUGAGUGCUAAGUGUUAGGGGGGUUUUCCGCCCCCCUUAGUGCUGCAGCUAACGCAUUAAGCACUCCGCCUGGGAGUACGGCCGCAAGGCUG
rnacentral:rRNA from 1 species